UCCUGGGUGGUGCAAAUGGUUAGUGCACUUUCGACUGAUAACCGAAAGGUUGGAGGUUCAAGUCCACUCAGAGGUG
rnacentral:tRNA from 1 species